rnacentral:pre_miRNA from 1 species
UCUGUACUCCCUCCGUCCCAAAAUUCUUGUCUUAAAUUUGUCUAAAUACGGAUGUAUCUAGUUACAUUUUAGUGUUAGAUACAUCCGUAUCUAAACAAAUGUAAGACAAGAAUUUUGGGACGGAGGGAAUAAUAC